UGCCUUUGUACAGCCACAGACCUUAAGCAUAUACAUUCACAGAUACUAGGACAGAUGUGAAGCUGUGCAGAAUUUUACCAAAACAGCUACUGAAAUGAGACAGAAGCUGCGUUGCUGCCCACUGUUGCAGUCAUAGCUUGGAGACUGGAUUUCAGAGGAUUCUAAGUGUUUUGGAAACAAUGUCCUGGAAUGGCCUUCCAAGCAGGUGGCAAUGGAAAAGGAGCCCAGAAAACAAUUUGUUUAUUAUAAGCAGGUCAGUCCUCCGGGGGAUUCAUGGAAUCAUGCAGUGGGAGAAGACAAUCACGGCACUGAAAUGUGUCUGGAGGAUCUGGCAUCAAAAAUAUGGCAAUGAUCAAUUGAAAGAAGAAAGUGCAACAGUUUGUGGGAUUUCCAAUCUUCUCAUUGAUACAUCUCAUGAAAGAUUAUCCAAGAUUUUAUCAUUUGUUUCACCAUAAUAAAAUAGUGAUUGUUUGAUUAAAAAUGUAAAGAACACUUUGAGGAACCAUGAAACUAUGUUUCAGAAAUGACUGUCCAAAUGUCAUUACUUUUUUGAAUGGUAUACUGUACAUAUCAUUAGGGCAAAAUCUGUCAUGCAGAAAAGAUAUUUCAGCCCUUAGGUGUAUUCAUGAAUAUGCAAAGAUAACCUUAGAUGUGGAGACUUUCAGCAAAUUGUUGUAAACAUUUGUCAUUGCAUAUGAAUCUUCAUGUAUGCACAGGUAAAUUGAUAAAGAUCUACUGAAGCAAAUGCUUUAAGGGAAAACAAUUCAAGACUUUAAGAAAAUUCAAUAAAUCUUGGAACAC